AUUGAACGCUGGCGGAAUGCUUUACACAUGCAAGUCGAGCGGCAGCGCGGGGCAACCUGGCGGCGAGCGGCGAACGGGUGAGUAAUACAUCGGAACGUACCCAGUUGUGGGGGAUAGCCCGGCGAAAGCCGGAUUAAUACCGCAUACGACCUGAGGGUGAAAGGGGGGGAUCGCAAGACCUCUCGCAGUUGGAGCGGCCGAUGGCGGAUUACCUAGCUGGUAGGGUAAAGGCCUACCAAGGCGACGAUCCGUAGCGGGUCUGAGAGGACGACCCGCCACACUGGAACUGAGACACGGUCCAGACUCCUACGGGAGGCAGCAGUGGGGAAUGUUGGACAAUGGGGGCAACCCUGAUCCAGCCAUUCCGCGUGAGUGAAGAAGGCCUUCGGGUUGUAAAGCUCUUUCGGCAGGAACGAAACGGUCCUUUCUAAUAAAGAGGGCUAAUGACGGUACCUGAAGAAGAAGCACCGGCUAACUACGUGCCAGCCGCCGCCGUAACAC
rnacentral:rRNA from 1 species